rnacentral:rRNA from 1 species
GACGAACGCUGGCGGCGUGCCUAACACAUGCAAGUCGAACGGUGAAGCGCCUUCCUUUUUGGUGGGAGUGUAUGAGUGGCGAGCGGGUGAGUAACACGUGAGUCACCUGCCACCUUCUUGUGGACAACCGCAUGACAGUGUGGCUAAUACGGGAUAUUCUGGGUCUCUCGCAUGAUGGGUCUGGGAAAGAUUUUGUUUCGGUGGGGGAUGGGCUCGCGGCCUAUCAGCUUGUUGGUGUGGUGAUGGCCUACCAAGGCGGUGACGGGUAGCCGGCCUGAGAGGGUGGACGGUCACGCUGGGACUGCGACACGGCCCAGACUCCGACGGGAGGCAGCAGUGGGGAAUAGUGCACGAUGGGCGCAAGGCUGAUGCAGCGACGCCGCGUGGAGGAUGGAGGCCGUCGGGUUGUAAACUUCUGUCGCCAGUGAAGCAAUCCUGCCUCGUUUAUGGGUGUGUUGACGGUAGCUGGAUAAGAAGCGCCGGCUAACUACGUG